GGGUUGUGAGGUUAAGCGACUAAGCGUACACGGUGGAUGCCCUGGCAGUCAGAGGCGAUGAAGGACGUGCUAAUCUGCGAAAAGCGUCGGUAAGGUGAUAUGAACCGUUACAGCCGGCGAUGUCCGAAUGGGGAAACCCAGUGCAAUUCGUUGCACUAUCGUUAACUGAAUACAUAGGUUAACGAGGCGAACCGGGGGAACUGAAACAUCUAAGUACCCCGAGGAAAAGAAAUCAACCGAGAUUCCCCCAGUAGCGGCGAGCGAACGGGGAGCAGCCCAGAGUCUGAAUCAGCUUGUGUGUUAGUGG
rnacentral:rRNA from 1 species